rnacentral:misc_RNA from 1 species
AAAGUUGUAACAAGGUUUCUGUAGGUGAACCUGCGGAAGGAUCAUUACUGUGGAGCCCUCUGCCGGCUUUGUGGGAUAGAACCCUUGCCUUUUUCGAGUACUGCCUGUUUCCUUGGCAGGCCCGCCUGCCAACGGGGACAACUAAAACCCUUCUUUAUCUGUAACUGUCUGAACAAAAACAAACAAUUAAAACUUUCAACAACGGAUCUCUUGGUUCUG